rnacentral:rRNA from 1 species
AGCCCGCUCAGAAACUCAAAGGAAUUGACGGGGGCCUGCACAAGCGGUGGAGCAUGUGGUUUAAUUCGAAGCAACGCGCAGAACCUUACCAGCGUUUGACAUGGUAGGACGACUGGCAGAGAUGCCUUUCUUCCCUUCGGGGACCUACACACAGGUGCUGCAUGGCGGUCGUCAGCUCGUGUCGUGAGAUGUUGGGUUAAGUCCCGCAACGAGCGCAACCCUCGACUUUAGUUACCAUCAUUAAGUUGGGUACUUUAAAGUAACCGCCGGUGAUAAGCCGGAGGAAGGUGGGGAUGACGUCAAGUCCUCAUGGCCCUUACGCGCUGGGCUACAUACGUGCUACAAUGGCAAGUACAGUGGGCAGCAAUCCCGCGAGGGUGAGCUAAUCUCCAAAACUUGUCUCAGUUCGGAUUGUUCUCUGCAACUCGAGAGCAUGAAGGCGGAAUCGCUAGUAAUCGCGGAUCAGCAUGCCGCGGUGAAUACGUUCCCAGGCCUU